rnacentral:rRNA from 1 species
UUUAACUGAAGAGUUUGAUCAUGGCUCAGAUUGAACGCUGGCGGCAGGCUUAACACAUGCAAGUCGAGCGGGGGAAGGUAGCUUGCUACUGGACCUAGCGGCGGACGGGUGAGUAAUGCUUAGGAAUCUGCCUAUUAGUGGGGGACAACA